GGGGACGAUUCAGUUUCGAUUGGGUGACUGAGUAAAGAUAUAAGCAUACCGAAGGCUCGGCUUCGUAAAAACGGAAAUUAAAUUUAAAUGCUAACGAACAAGUAGCAUACGCAGCGUAAUUUUUGCGUACGCCCUACCUGUCCUCGCUCGUUGGGAUAGGAUAGGGCGUCAGUUAGACGAGGUACUGUUAGAGAAGAUUUGUCGGUUUAUCUAACGGAAUUUUACGGCAUAAGGCAGGAUAAAGGUCGCCAACGGCCAUAUUUUGCACGAAAAACAAUCGUUGGAUAAGUAUGUAGAAAAUUUUUAUGAAGCAUUCAAGACCAGAGUGCAAAUCUCUGCGUCUCCACCA
rnacentral:tmRNA from 1 species